GUGAGAUCCACUCUGUGGGAGAGGAACAGAGGAGCCCCGCCUGUGCAGCUGACUGCAGUGAGGCAGGCAGGAGUCUCUCUCUGGAGCGGAACAGGGAAACAGGGCGAGGUCCCUGGCUGGAUCUGUUGCUCAGCGCUGCCUACGAUGGACAGCUGUGAUGCAUGUCUGCUCUGCUCCCAGAGCCCCGCUUUGUUUGCUAAUGCCUGGGAACCCACUGUAUGACCAGGAGUUCAGUUGGCGAACUCACAGUGGGGAACAGCCCCUUAGCAACCCUUCUUGG
rnacentral:lncRNA from 1 species